AAACUUACCUGGCAAGGGAGAGAUAGCAUGAUCAUGAAGGUGUUUUUCCCAGGUUGAGGCUUAUCCAUUGUACUAUGGAUGUGCUGACGCCUGUGAUUUCCCCAAAUGUGGGAAAUUCAACUGCUUUACUUGUGGUAUUGGGGGACUGUAUUCAUGCUCUCUCCUG